rnacentral:rRNA from 1 species
AUACGGAGGAUCCGAGCGUUAUCCGGAUUUCUUGGGUUUAAAGGGAGCGUAGGCGGACGCUUAAGUCAGUUGUGAAAGUUUGCGGCUCAACCGUAAAAUUGCAGUUGAUACUGGGUGUCUUGAGUACAGUAGAGGCAGGCGGGAUUUGUGGUGUGGCGGUGAAAUGCUUAGAUAUCACGAAGAACUCCGAUUGCGAAGGCAGCCUGCUGGACUGUAACUGACGCUGAUGCUCGAAAGUGUGGGUAUCAAACAGGAUUAGAUACCCUGGUAGUCCACACAGUAAACGAUGAAUACUCGCUGUUUGCGAUAUACAGUAAGCGGCCAAGCGAAAGCGUUAAGUAUUCCACCUGGGGAGUACGCCGGCAACGGUGAAACUCAAAGGAAUUGACGGGG